CAUUCCUGUUCAGGCAUAGGCUGAAUUUAAAAGACCUCUGAAGUCAUCCCAUCCAAGUUUGAGGUUCUAAUUUCUAUGAGUGAUAUGAACUAAAAUUAAUACAGAAAUAAUAUAGGGUCAAAAAACAAAACUGCAAUAUAAGAUUCAUAGACCUAGGGGGCUGCUUGCAGAAUGUUUGGGAGAGAAGGACAACCUGCUGUCUAGAGGAAUAUCAAAGGAUAACACAUCUUUUGAAAACACUCUAUCUAUCUCAACCAGGAAUACUAAAACGCAAACAAAUACUGAAUAGAAGAAAGAAUUAGAUCUAGCCCAAAGAAUUGUCACAAGGGAAUAUAUUAAAGAAAAUCAUGAAAAUGUC